GGAGGGCGCCUUCCCAUUCGCUGCUGCGGGGGAGCAGGGCGGUGUGAUUGGGCGGAGGGAGUGGAGUGCUGAGGCAUUGUGCAGACUCCCCUGCCUGCUUCAGCCAUUCAGCUGAGGCCUGUCCUGCUAGUUCAAAUGGAGUGGGCAAGAGUGGUGAAGACCUUCGUCCCCAUUUCAGCACCCCCCAGGUUGCAGUCAGCUAUGACUUUGUCACAGCAUCAGAGAUUGAAAACAAAACGUCUGUCUAGCUGUGAAGGAUUUCAGACAGUGCAGAGCACAGCACCCACUAAUUGCACUGUUCCCUGGUCUUCACCCACAUCAGUCCAACAGAAUUACAUUUGGUGACACCCAAGCAAAAAGUCCAAACUCUUCUUGGAAGGGCAGUAAAAAGAAAAGGGACAAGAAGUAACAGUAAAAAAAUAGAGUAAAAAGUAUGGGGACACCAGCUUUUCCUUGUGUGAUAAUACGUUGUUCAUCUUAGCCAGUGCUAGCUUCCAAAAUGAAUGGUUUAAACAUUUGUAAUAUUCUUGAUACACUGCUUUACACCAGCCUUUUUGAGCUACCCCUAGCUCCCCUUCCUCAUCAGUGCUUUGUAGCAUUCUUUCUGUGGAACACAACCUGCAUAAAACAAACAUAGCAGAUGUUCUAAUAAAG
rnacentral:lncRNA from 1 species